AGUGAACGCUGGCGGUAGGCCUAACACAUGCAAGUCGAACGGCAGCACAGUAAGAGCUUGCUCUUACGGGUGGCGAGUGGCGGACGGGUGAGGAAUACAUCGGAAUCUACCUUUUCGUGGGGGAUAACGUAGGGAAACUUACGCUAAUACCGCAUACGACCUACGGGUGAAAGCAGGGGAUCUUCGGACCUUGCGCGAUUGAAUGAGCCGAUGUCGGAUUAGCUAGUUGGCGGGGUAAAGGCCCACCAAGGCGACGAUCCGUAGCUGGUCUGAGAGGAUGAUCAGCCACACUGGAACUGAGACACGGUCCAGACUCCUACGGGAGGCAGCAGUGGGGAAUAUUGGACAAUGGGCGCAAGCCUGAUCCAGCCAUACCGCAUGGGUGAAGAAGGCCUUCGGGUUGUAAAGCCCUUUUGUUGGGAAAGAAAAGCAGCAGGUUAAUACCCCGCUGUUCUGACGGUACCCAAAGAAUAAGCACCGGCUAACUUCGU
rnacentral:rRNA from 1 species